rnacentral:rRNA from 1 species
UACGUAGGGUGCGAGCGUUAAUCGGAAUUACUGGGCGUAAAGCGUGCGCAGGCGGUUCGUUGUGUCGGCGGUGAAAGCCCCGGGCUUAACCUGGGAAUGGCCGUUGAAACUGGCGAACUGGAGUGUGGCAGAGGGGGAUGGAAUUCCGCGUGUAGCAGUGAAAUGCGUAGAUAUGCGGAGGAACACCGAUGGCGAAGGCAAUCCCCUGGGCCUGCACUGA